rnacentral:rRNA from 1 species
ACCAAAAAUCUAGCCUAUAACAACCCUAUACCUACCCCCUCCCAUAUUUAUAAAAUAAAACAUUUUAACUUUCUAGUAGAGGAGAUCAAAAAAUAUAUAAGCGCUUAAGAUGAAGUACCGAAAGGGAAACAUGAAAUAAAAAUGAAAUAAACUUAAAGUUAACUAAAGCAGAGAUUCAAACUCGUACCUUUUGCAUCAUGGUCCAGCCAGUCCACCCAAGCAAAACGAAAUUUUAGUUUGGCCCCCCGAAACUAAGCGAGCUACUUCAAAACAGCUUUUAGAGCCAACCCGUCUCUGUAGCAAUAGAGUGGGAAGAUUUUCAAGUAGAAGUGACAAGCCUAACGAGCUUAAAGAUAGCUGGUUAUUCAGGAAAAGAAUUUUAGUUCUGCCUUAAAUUUUUAUAUGCCACCAAACAAAAUCAAAAAUUUAAGAGUUAUUCAACUAAGGCACAGCUUAUUUGAAACAGGAUACAACCUACACUUUCGGGUAAACAUUAAACACCAUGUAAAGUGGGCCUAAGAGCAGCCAUCUUUCAAAAAGCGUUAAAGCUUAGCCAAUUUUAUUAUUAAAUACCACAAACCACAUUGAACCCACACCCACUACUGAAUGACCCCAUAAAUAUAUGGAAAACAUCAUGCUGGAACUAGUAACAAGAAUCUAAUAUUCUCCAAAAUGCAAGCAUAAACCAGGAUGGAUAAACCACCGGUCAUUAACGAAAAUGAACAAAUUACAGUAACAUAACAAGAAAACCCUGUACAUCCCACCCGUUAACCUAACACCAGAGCAUCUCCGGAAAGAUUAAAAGAGAAAGAAGGAACUCGGCAAACUUCAGCCCCGCCUGUUUACCAAAAACAUCGCCUCUUGAUAACUCAUAAGAGGUCCAGCCUGCCCAGUGAGCAUUAAACGGCCGCGGUAUCCUAACCACGCGAAGGUAGCAUAAUCACUUGUUCUUUAAAUAGGGACUAGUAUCAACGGCAUCACGAGGGCUGCACUGUCUCCUCUCUCUAAUCAGUGAAACUGAUCUCCCCGUGAAGAAGCGGGGAUACCACUAUAAGACGAGAAGACCCCAUGGAGCUUUAAAUCUCACAGCAAUUCUGCCACAUAACUCCUCAUAAUAAACAGAACCCUGCACGUCGGUUUUAGGUUGGGGCGACCGCGGAGCAAAAAUAACCCUCCACGACGAAAAGAACUAAAUCUUUAUCUAAGGGCCACACCCCUAAGAAUUAGCAUACUAACGAACAAUGACCCGAUAUUCGAUCAACGGAUCAAGUUACCCUGGGGAUAACAGCGCAAUCUACUUCAAGAGCCCAUAUCGACAAGUAGGCUUACGACCUCGAUGUUGGAUCAGGGUAUCCCAGUGGUGCAGCCG